UAAAGCACCUUCUACUACAAUCUACAUACCGGGACAGUCACCUGGCCAGGUCUUAGACACCGCUAUACUUUUCUUUCGUAGGUAGAGAGGUUAAACGACAGGUGUUUGCGUUGUCGAAGACGACCCUUUUUUAGUAAGAAUUCGGACGUGAGUGAAGUGCCAAUUUUGUGAUUGCGAAUUGUGCGAAGUGUCAGUUAUCGGUUUAUGAUAAUAAGUGAUGAGACAAGGGUUUUCGAAGGGAUUGGUGGGGUGUUUGUGGCAGAACUAGAUCGACUCUAUGGGAUUUUUCUUUUUUUCGGAUUUUGUUUGUCAGAAAGGAUUCCCGAAUGGCGUCCAUUUUUUGGAUAGCAAGCUCGAUAUGGUUACUGCUCUUUCUGCCAAAGACUGAAGCCCAAGGAUUAUGCGAAGUGGAAAACGGAGCAUCGAACAUCAUUUUAGAUAUCGAGGAAAGUAGAGGAACGU